rnacentral:rRNA from 1 species
GACGAACGCUGGCGGCGUGCUUAACACAUGCAAGUCGAACGAAGUGGCGAACGGGUGAGUAACGCGUAAUCAACCUGCCCUUCAGAGGGGGACAACAGUUGGAACGACUGCUAAUCCCGCAUACUGAAGGCGGGGAUUGCGUCUGAUUAGCUGGUUGGAGGGGUAACGGCCCACCAAGGCGAUGAUCAGUAGCCGGUCUUAGAGGAUGAACGGCCACAUUGGGACUGAGACACGGCCCAGAAUCCUACGGGAGGCAGCAGUGGGGAAUCUUCCGAAAUGGACGAAAGGCGGACGGAGCAACGCCGCGGGGUUGAUGGCGGGCUGCGGGUUGUAAAGCUCUGUUAAUCGGGACGCGGUACCGGAAUAGAAAGCCACGGCUAACUACGUGCCAGCAGCCGCGGUAAUUC